AAUGAACGCUGGCGGCAGGCCUAACACAUGCAAGUCGAACGGAUCCUUCGGGAUUAGUGGCGGACGGGUGAGUAACGCGUGGGAACAUACCCUUUGGUACGGCAUCGCCUCGGGAAACUGGGGGUAAUAACGUUAGUGGUCGAGAGACGAAAGAUUUAUCGCCAACGGAUUGGCACGCGUUGGAUGAGGUAGUUGGGGGUGUAAUGGCCUACCAAUCCGACGAUCCAUAUCUUGUUUGAGAGGAUGAUCAGACACACUGGGACUGAGGCACGGCCCAGACUCCUACGGGAGGCAGCGGUGGGGAAUCUUAGACAAUGGGGGAAACCCUAAUCUAGCCGUGCCGCGUGUUCGAUGAUGGCCUUAGGGUUGUAAAGAUCUUUCAGGUGGGAAGAUAAUGACUGUACCACCAGAAGAAGCCCCGGCUAACUCCGUGCCAGCCGCCGCAGUAA
rnacentral:rRNA from 1 species